UUUUAAUUUUUUUUUUUUAUUACAGGAACAGAUUUGAAGAGUGGGAACUGAACUUGGAUCUUCAUUGCAAAUAUAGGGCAAUUUUAAUAAACCACUUAAAAUUAUUCCUUAUUAAUUAAUUAUUAAUAUGCUAGGCACUGAUGACAGUGUCUUUGCUCUCGAGGAGCUUGACUUUUAUAAUGGAAGACAAUAUAUGGAAAAUGUAUAUAUGUAAAUAUAAGGGGAAAUGAAUUUCUAUCUUCCCUACCACCCCAAGCUCAGUCAUAUAGUCACAGAACAUCAUAGGCAAGUUGAUGUAUAUUCACAUGCUAUUAAUACCAAGAACUCCUUUAUGAUGUAAGUCCUUUAGACAAUUGGCAUUUUAGAUGAAUGCAGACUCUAUGGAAUUGUAAAUAUUGACCCCACUAUGGACUGGACUGGGAGGGAUUUCUCUCUUCUCCUCCCCAUUCCUGACAUCCCAAAUAGCAGUAAAAGAGUUAAUUUGAGAUCUUUCAAGGUAUAAUAGAGGAAGCAGAUGCACAAUCUCUAGGGGAAAGGUACAGAAAGACAGUCAUUUAAGUCUGAAAAUAAUUCAAAGUAACAUUAUCCCUGGUGGUAGAAAAAGGAGAUUGUGGGCUCAAAAAAGAACCUCAAGAGUUGAAUCACAAAUCUUGUUUGGGAGCUACUGUUAUAGCCAUUUUAUAAUUGAGGAAGUUGAAGCAGACAGCGGCUGAUUGAUUUGCUCAGGAUCAUAGAGCUAUAGAUGAUGAUUUAUUGAAUAAAAUGAAGACUUAAGGAAAAAAAGAAGAAUCUGAUUGAUGGGGCAAGAAGUACCUUUUUACUUGUGUACAGAUGGAAAUAAACAAUCAUAUUGUGAAACUAUAA